rnacentral:lncRNA from 1 species
UUUAGAGUUUCGUUGUUUUGAGUCUUUGUGUUUUAUUUUAUAUCAGACUAGUGCUGCUACUGUUUAUCAAAAACUUAGAGUUGGUUUGUUUUAGUUGAGUUGUAUUUUGUUCUUUGUAUACUACUCUAGUGCUUCUAGCAAUAGUGGGUUUGUGUUUUGGAGUUGUUCUCCUAUUUUAUUGUAACUGUGAUUGAAUCAAUCACUGAGGAUAGUUAAUGAGAGAAAGGAUGGGGGUUUCUCAUAUUUAGGGGGAGUCCUUGAUAUAAAUACACGGGUAUUAUUAGGUGAAGAGGUAAUGAACAAGGUUUGUUCACAUGUGACUAGGAACUGAUACUAUUGAGAGUGAAUUUCCUUUCUUGGGUGGAUGCCCCCCCAUAUGUAGGUGAUGUUGCACCGAACUGGGUUACCAAAUCUAUCGUGUUCUUCUUUAUCACACUUUACUUUAUUUCUGUCUGUUUUUAUUGUGCUAUAUUGUCGUACUCGUUGUCUAGGACACCACAUAAAACAUAUGUCCUACGAGAACUAGAAUUUCACCACUUACAAUUUUGAUCCACCAUAGACAUUUAUGGUUAAAAAUCGACGGAAGAGACCAAAACCUACAAUGACAAAAAAAUCAAGGGAUCACUUUGAGACGUUUUUUAGUUAUAUGACCGUUUUGCAAAAAUCAAUUAAGUUAAGGGACCGGAUGAUCAAUUUAAAACAUACACACACACACCAACCGGUCACUAUUAUAAGCAAAAAUCUAGAUUUUAGAUUCAUUCAAUUAAUGAUGUAUAUGAUCUUUCUUAUAGUCCACAUACAUCAUUUAAUCAAUGAAUCUAAAAUAUUGAAUUUUACUUAUAAUAGUAGGAAUAAAAGUCACAAUAUAGUAACAAUUAUGAUUGUAGCCAAAAUAAUUAAGUUAUAAUGAAUUAUUGAAAUUCUUUUACUAUUAUCUUUUUUUUUUAGUUUCUACAAUAGGAAUAAAAGUCACAAUAUAGUAACAGUUAUGAUUGUAGCCAAAAUAUUAGAAUUCUUAUAUAUUAUUUUAAUAGAUUCAAAACAUAAAAAAAAUAUAAAUUACGAAAUGAAGAUACAAUGUAUUAGAAAGUGACACUAUUUUUCAUAAAAUAAAAGUAAGUCGAAAUUGUUAAAUUGUACACUUUCACUCGAUUUUGAACCUAAGACCACACAAUUUUGUCAGCGAGUUUCAAUGUUUACAACUUCGUCUACUGACAUAGCAAAAAAAACAAUGUAAAAGUUCUAGGUAAUUUAUUGAAUUCUAUAAAAAAAUCUUUUAAUAUGAAAUAAAAAAGGAUUAAGUUAUAUAUAUAUAUAUAUAUAUAUAUAUAUAUUAAUUAUUGAAAUUCUUUUGCUAUUAUCUUUUUUAUUAACGUCUUGAUUUGUAUACAAGUCACAAUAUGGUAACGGUUAUGAUUGUAAUUAAAAUAUUAGAACUCUUAUGGUUAUGUAUAAUUAUCAUUUAAUACAUAUUAGAACUCUUAUGGUUAUGUAUUAUUUAUAUAUAUAUAUAUAUAUAUAUAUAUAUAUAUAUAAUAAUAAUAAUUUUUUUUUAUAGAUUCUAAAUAUGUAAAGAAUAUAUAUUAAGAAAUAAAGAUUCAAUGUAUUAGAAAGUGUGGCACCAUUUUUCUUAAAAGUAAGCCGAGAUAAUUAAAUUGCACAUCCUCACUCGAUUUUGAACCUAGGACCGCAAAGUUGUGUUUUUGAGUUUCAAUGUUUACAACUUUAUCUUCUGAAAACAUAAAAAAUAAAAUAAAAAAAUAAGGUAAAAGCUCUAGGUAAUGGUUCAAACCAAAGAAAUAGUAACUUCUACAACUUUGAGGUCAUAGGUAAGUGAAGGUGUGUGCGAUCUAACAUUUUUGCCUUACUUUUCAUAAAAAUGGUGUCACACUUUCUAAUACAUUGAAUCUUUAUUCAAAAAUACAUUGAAUCUUAAUUUGUAAUUUAGAAUCUUUACAUAUUUAGAAUAUAUUAAAAAAGGAAUAAAAUUAAAUUAUUAUAUAAAAUGAAAUGAUAUAUUAAAACUAAUUUAUUGUAUAAAAAUUAUUCUAUAUUAAAAUUAAUUUUUAAUAUAUAAAUAACAUUUAUAUAUGCAGGUGAGUAGUAUAAAUAAAUUGUCACCUACUCCAUUUUCAUCAUUCAGUAUUCCUUCUUCAUCAUGAAUUUACUGCCUCUUUUCACUCUUUUAUUUCUCUUACUCUUUGUUUAUUCAAAAGUUUUGAGUUUGAAGGUCUUUGUCUUGACGGUGAAUUUGAUGAUGAAUUUGAUGAAAAGGGUAGUAUUGAUACAAAUCUUCCUGAAUUUCAUUAGGAUUAGGACAUUUCAGAUGUCGAUCUCGAGGGAUUUGCCGUUGCUGGUGUUGCUUCUCCUCAUGGUUGUCACUAAGCUCACUUCAUUAGUUUUAUUAAUCCACAAAGAAUAUCUCUACAAUAUUGUAAUUUUUUAGUCUAUGUCGUAACUUUGGAAUAGUUUACUUUUGUAGUUUGUUUAUUUCGACGGUGCAACCUCUUGUACUUUGUUAACAUUCAAUAAUAAAAUAGUGUUAACAAUUUUUAUUCAUUUUCAAUAUUUACCCCGUUCAUAGAAGAAAUAUAUUUCUUUAAGUAUUGAUAUGACUAAUGAAUUUUCACUUUCAUAGAAUAUUUGAUUGACUCAAAGUGACCUUUCUCAUUUGGAAGACUAUUUCUCAUACAUUUGACAAGCUUAGUGUUAGGAUAGAAUAAUUUUCACAUUAAGUCUCAUACAUUUUUAUGCAUUUUAAGUUAACUUUGAUAGACAACACAAUGCCAUUCUAAUACACUAAUAAUUAAUUCAUUUGUUGAAUUCUAUAAAACGAAAUAAAAAAAGGAUUUUUUUUAAUGAAAUAAGUAAAAAAAGGAUUAAUUUUGAUAGAUUCACAACACGACAACAACACACCCACCUCACACACUUACAAAUGAAAGCUUGUUGUCCUUUUACUUUACAAGCCAUUUCUUAUUCCUUUGUAAUUGUGUGACUCGUUUGUUAUUGGGGAGAGUUAAAAUUUUAAAAAUCUAAAUUAUGUUGUUUAAAUUGUUGUCUGUUAAAAACAAUCUUAAUACUUUUUAACUUGUUUGAAGAUUUUUUUUGGCAGACGCUAUUCUUUAAUACCUCAAUCCAAUACACAUGGACCUAAAUAUAUAAUGUAAUAUUUUCACACAAACCUUGACAAUCGAUUUGAGAUCAAAUGAUUCAUAUUUUAAUUUCAGUAACAAUACACAUUGACGCUUUAACAAACCUCUACCGUCAAUUAGAUAUAUGGCAGUUCAUAUUUCAAUUUUGUUUUUCCGCAUGAAAACAUUCUCGACUAUUUAUUUCGAUCAGACGACUCAAAUUUGUAACUGUGUCAGAGAAAAUCCAAAUCUCAAGUUUUAGGCCUUGUUGUAUACAUAUGACAAGAAUUUAACUGAUGUAAUAUUUUCACACAAACCUCGACCAUCAAUUUGAGAUUGAACUAGUCAUAUUUCAAUUUCGACAACAAUACACUUUGACACUUUAACGAACCUCAAUCGUCAAUGAAACAUCGAAAGGUUUAGAUUUUAGUUUUGCUCGCCCACAUCCGUCAAUUAAAUAUCAAAAUGUUCAAAUUUCAGUUUUGCUCGCCCAUAUUAAAACAAUAUUGCUUUUCCCACCCUGUUGUAUUCUAGCGCGCCCUUUUUUUUCUUCCAAAAAUACCGCUAGUUCGGAUUACAUAAUUCGAACUCCUUUUGGAUUAUGUAAUCCGGACAAUUUCAUGCAUUUUGGAGCUUGAAGACCCUGAAGGAUCUUGAUGAGCAUCAAGCCCUCUUCGCUUAAAAUUAACAGAGCAUCAAGCCCUAUUCACUUAGAAUUAACAGCGCAUCAAACCAUCUUCGUUUAAAAUGAUUAUGCAUUGACACUACCAAUGCAACACCAACAACAACAACAGCGACUUCGCAUUAUGACUUCAUAAUUCAUCAAUUAUGAACAACAUCAUAUUCAUCAACAUAUACAUUCCAAUAAUAAUUCAACAUCAUAUAACAUCAUAUUCAUCAAAAUAUACAUUCAUAUAAUAAUUCAACAUCAUAUAACAUCAUAUUCAUCAACAUAUACAUUCAUAUAAUUCAUCAAUCAUAUAACAUCAACAUAUACAUUCAUAUAAUAAUUCAUCAAUCAUGAACAACAUCAUAUAACAUCAUAUUCAUCAACAUAUACAUUCAUAUAAUUAAUCAAUCAUGAACAACAUCAUAUAACAUCAUAUUCAUCAACAUAAACAUUCAUAUAAUAAUUAAAUCAUCAAACAAAGAUAUUCACGUCAAACCAAGUUAGAUCCAUCACAAUAUAGGUUAAAUACUCUUAAACACCUUAAAUGAACUCAUAGUACACAAGUUUUGAAGUUUGGAGACAAUCCAUAAGUUUUGGGUUGGCUUAGAAAUAGUUAUGCGGAAUUUUCAUAAAAUUUCACCAAGACCUCCUUGGAGUGUUUUCAUCAUAAAUCAAAAACCAAAAAUCAUUUUCAAGUAAAACUAAAGCCACUAGAAAGCUAACAUAAUUAUCUAAAAUUUUCAUGUUUACACUGAAAGCAAAUUCAAAACAGAAACAUGUGAAACAGACGCAAGAACAUGAAACAUGGUAUGAUGUCAUUGUGCAAUUUCGCUAAUGGCGAAAAUCUGUCUAUUCGCGAAAUUGUUACAGAGGAUUUCGCCAAUAGCAAACUUCUAGCGAGUUUUCCGCUACUGUUACGAUUUCUACACACUUUUUCGCCCAAAAACCCAAAUUUCAUCAUUCCAAAUCCCUAAUUUGAUAGGAAACUUAACUUAAGAUUAUUCUACAACCUGAAUAACAAUUUUCACCAUGAUUAAUUGGAUUACCUACACUUUCAACAAUCAAAUUGAAAUUCAAAACAUAAUUUCAUUAACAUCAUAAUUUCAACAACAACAAUGGUAAACCCCUUUUCAGAAUUAUGAAACUCAUGAUUAUAGAAGGUUAGUCCCACCCUUACCUUAGAUUAGAUGGUUUCAGACUCUACAAGCUUGCUCCUCUUCUCUUUCUCUGACUUCUCACUUUCUCCCUUUUUCUCCCGAAAGCAGUUUCUAAUUUGUUGUAACCCUAAUUCUCUAAUGGUCUCAUCUAUUUAUAAUCACCAACUGAGUUUGUUUCUAACUUAAUCUCUCUUAUUCCAAUUCUAUCCCCUCAAGCCUCAUAAUUCUAUUUUAAUUAUAUUCCUCCACUAAAUAAUAAAAUAGGGGCUACUAAUAAAUAUCAUACACAACAAAAAUAUCACUUAUCAAAAUAAAUCGAUUAAAUUAUAAAAAGACUCUAAACUCAAUAAAUAAAUAAAUAAUAAAAUAGGGUGUUACACGCAUCAGAGACCAUGUCUAGGUAUUGAAAGAGGUGCAUGAUGGGAAAGUUUACCGUCAUCGGGGAGCUAGUGAGGGUGGCAGAGUUGGAAGAGGUGGUGGCAGAGUUGGCGGUGGUACGGGUGUAGUUAUUAGGGGCUGGUUGUAUUGUAUUUUAUGUUUAUGUUUGAACAUUUUGGAUGCUUUUGAAUUAUGUAACACUUGGAUAAUUUUUAUUUUUAUGUUUUAUUAAUGUUAGAAUGUUUGAAAUUUAUAUUGCAUCGUUAAUUUUAAGUUGAAUUCUCUAUUUGAACAACAUGUCAAAGGCCAAAAUGUUGGACCACAUGCUCUAAAACAGAGUCUCAGCCAAAACAGAUGGCUUCCUCUGUGUUGGUGCAAUUCGGAUUACACAAUUCAGACUGUUUAACAUAAUCCGGAUUAUGUGAUCCGAAAACAUCAUUUUCCACCCCAUUUGUUGACUUUCAACGGGGUGAUUUACACAUUUUGGAUUACAUAAUCCGGAGUAGGGCUGGACAGAAUCUGGAAAACCGGACCAAACCGGCCGAAUCGGAUGGGCCGAACCGGUCCGGGUCGGUUUGUUCGGUUAAGCGGUUCACACGGUCCAUUUGAAAUGGGUUGCUGUGAUUAAGAGUGGUCGGUUACGGGUUGCAAUUUCCAACCCGCCGAAAACCGUAACCGACCGGUGCAUAUAGUUAUUAUUCUACUUGUGGUUCCCUGCAUGGUCCAGCCCAAAUUGGUUAGCCAAUUUUCAGCAAAGGCCUGCAUAUAAAUAUUAUUCACAAUGGAGAAAACCCUAAAAUUUCACUCUAAUCUUAUCUCUGCCGCUGCUCAUCUAUUCCCAAACGAACCGUAACAACUUUCCAUCAUCCAGAUCAUCCCUAACCCUCAUCCAUUUCCUGAGAUCAUGAAUCCAGAUCAUGGUUAACCCUCAUCCAUUUCCGUAAACCAUCCCUAACCCAUAAACAUUUUCAGAAAUCAUCCAUUAAAAUUCACUAAACAAAACCCAAUUCGUUCAAAACCAACUUUCAAUUGUUUCUUUGUAGAAAUUUGAAAGGGUUGUCAUGUUCUUAGCUCACUGAAGUUAAAGGGUUUAUAUUCAACUUGUGUUUUUGUUGCUAAUAAUAGUUUCUUUCUGUUUUAGGAUUUUUUUCAAGGAUUUUGGCUAAAGAGACGGUGAGGAUUUAUUUCUGACUAUGUUGUUAGUGUUCAUUUACUUGAAUGUUAAAUAUAUUUUCUUUUACUAAUAUUUUUUUUUUAUUUCACUUGUUUCUGUUUAUGUAUGUUUGCUCGGACCUAAAACUACUAAAGAUGGAGGGUGAGGCAAUUAAUGAUGCAGUAGCUGUGGAAAACUGUGAGUAAUUUUGUUUCUCUAAUAUGUGUAAUUUUUAUUUGAGUUUGCAUUUGUCAAUAAUGAUUAUAUAUAUCAGUGUUAUUGCUAAACUGUGAUUAUUUUUUUAAACAAGCUUGUGACCUUGUGCGUAUCAGUUUGUUUAAUACUUUUAUUUUGAGUAAUCCUUUUACUUUUAUUUAGAGUUUAUGUAUCAGUUUAUUUGUAUUGAGUAAUACUUUUAUUUUUAUUUAGUAAUACUUUAUUUUGAGUAAUACUUCUAUUUCCUUUUUUUUUUUUUUUUUUUUUUUUUUUUUUUUUUUUUGUAUCUUUCAAUGUUGCUUAAUAUGUGUAAGGAAUAUCAUUAUGCAUAUUUUUGUUUUGAUCAAAUUUUUUCUCUCUUAAAAUCAGUCAUGGACGAGGAAACCGAAGUUGCAGCUACGGAGCGCGCAGUUGGAGUUGGAGCUACGGAGGGCGCAGUUGGAGUUGGAUCUACGGAGGGCGCAACUGGAGUUGCCCCCAUGGAGGGGUGUUAUCGCGAUUUUCGGGUAUCAAGUCAUUAAUUAGGCUUGAACCUUUCAAUCUUUGAUAUUCUCUAUUUUUUCUUGGGAAGGGCAAAAUUGAGAAAAACCCUUAGAUUCGGAGUUCGGGGGUCGCUUUCGCUACGGGAAGGUGUUAGGCACCCGGAACGAUUAUGGUAUUCCAUAAGAACCGUUCUCCUAAGUUUAUUUCUACGCUUUAUUUUUAUUGCCUACUUAUUAAAAAAAGAAGUUUUAUUUGAGUGAAGAAUGGGGGGAAGAAAGUGUUUGAGGUUUUAUUUUACUUGGCUUGGAGGAGUUUUAACUCAUUGCCUACGUACCCUUUUAAGGGAUCAAAACCAAACGUAGUUCGUUCUCAAAAAAUGUUUUUAUGUGUUUGGUUGGUUUUAAUUUUUGUUGGAAAAUGGUUUUGGAGAAAAGAAAGAGGCCUUAAAGGCAUAAGAGAAGGAAAUGGUGAAUGUUGGUCCAAUUUUAUAAAAAAAAGUCUAAGUAGGAAUUAGGAUUCAUUUGGAUUUGUUUAAGAAAAUAAAAGAAGAACUUCAAUGGAGUUUUGACUCCAAGAUUUGUUUGGAAAAAUUUGAGUGAUGGAAUUAGUUUAUUAUUAUUUUUUUGAAAAUUGACAUUUGUCUAAAAAUCGCGUUUCCUAAGCAUACAUCUAAACGGUAAACAUGCAACGUGUGUGCGUGUCGGUGCUUGUGUCGGUGUACAUCACUUAUAGUGUCCAUAGUCCUUUACAUUGAGUCCUAGAUACAUGCUAUGGUCUUGCAAAGAAUUUUAAAAAGGAACUAAUCUAUCUAAAAUUAUUACAAACCCAAUUGAUAUAGAAAUGAAUAGAAAAAAGAUGCCAAAACUAUGGGAUGAAUGAAAUGUGAGAUGAAAUGGUUAGUAUCAUAAAGCAUAAAAAUAGUAGAAAGGUAAACAAAAUUGAAUAGAAUAGCAAGAGAGGAAAAAGGGUAAUGAAAUGAAAUAAAGUGGCAAAAUAUACCUAAAAUUGGUUAUGACACUUAGACAAUGCACAUGACCUAUAAUCCCCUCAUUAUAGCAAUGUUAAAGGGGUUUGAUUUUGAGCUAUAAUGUGGGAACAAAUAGGACAUAUUCAAGCCAAGAAUCAUGACACAUUUUCAAAGAUAUUUUGCACUUUAUUUCUUGAUAAAAACACACAUUGCUUGCAAAACAAGAAAGACAUGAAAAUCUACAUCCACAAUCAGCAAGAUAUACACAUGAUCAGCAACAUAUUCAUCAUGAAAUUACACACCAAUCAUCCACAUUACAUGCCAACAUUUUAUGAGAAAAUAUACCACAAAAAUACACAAACUUAGAUCACACACAAAAUUAAUCAAGAAAAAAUAACACACACAUUUUUAUCAUUUUUUAAACCACUGGAAAAUAUCACAAAAGUGUUAAAAUGUAUUAAGAAACAUAUAACAAUUUUUUGGAAUUUUUAGAGAAAAAAAAUUAAACACACAGAGGUUCAAUCAGCAAAAAAGCAGGGUGCAAAUAGCAGGAAAAUAGCAAAAAACGGAAAAAAGCAAAGCCCAAACCAACCAAAAGAUCUGGAGGCACAGGGAGCGUUGGAUCAAUCUAGAGGCUGAGAAAGAAAGGGAAGAACCGAAAAUAAACCGGACCGGUUCAAUGUUCUAUAUAUAUGCUUCAAAUCCGGGUUUUUUUCAUUUUUUCUUUUCCUUCUCUCUCUUCUCUCCUCUAGUGAGAGAAGCUCUCACUUCUCUCUAGAAUUCCGGUCGUCUUCUCCGGCGUGGCUCCCCUUUCCGGCGCGGCGGACGGUGGUGGCGCCACCGCGCCGGAGCUCAAAACUUCUCCGAUUCAAAUUUUUUUCGCACUUUUAAACAUCCUUUUUCGUCUACUUCUCGAAUCCGAGUUUAGAUUUUUCAGAAAAGGUUCGAAUCGGAGUAGAUUUGAGUUUGGAUCUUGACAAAAUUUGUUAAAAAGAAACGGUAGGAAAAGGAAGAGAAAAGCGAAGAGGAUUACCUCUUCGUCGCUGAGGCUCUUGUUUCACGAUCUGGACUCGCUACUUUCGCGAUUCUGGUUCGGCCUUGUGCUUCGUCGCGUUCGAACUCUUUCUUUUUGAUUUCUUCUUCUUCUCUGGUUCGAGUCUUUCGCGCUUUCCCUUUUCUUCUCUGGUGCGAGCCUUUCGUGAUCGUACUUGAGUCCGUUGCUAACAGCGAUGGAUUCGCACUGGAAUUGCGAAAGGAACGGUUCGAUGAUGACGAUUCAAGGACGAAUCGCUGAGAACUGUAGAGAAAUCUGAGAGAUUUUUGUUGAAUUCUGGUGAAUUUGUGAUGAAUCUGUGUGUUAGGGUUUGGGAUUUUUCUGUGUUCUUGGUGAUUUCUGUUUUUGAUCUGUAACUGAAAGGAGAGAGACUGUUACUUCUGUUUGUGAUGUGGCGUGUAUUCUGUGGCUUGACUCUGACACUUGGCUAUUUAUAACUUGCCACUUGUGAUCUUGGGCCAGUGAAAUGGUGACACCUGUUAUUGGACCUGAUUGGCUCGGUCUUGUGCAAAUUUGUGAUUUAAGGACCUUUCUGCAAAAAAGUGAAAUUGAGGACUAAACUGCAAUUAUAAAAAAGGACUAAAAAGUAAUUUUAAGAAUUUCGGACUAAAAUUGCAAUUCUGGAAACUUUUUGAGGGACCAGAAUGUAAUAAAAAUAAAAUUGAAUUAAAAAUUGGUAAAUUGAUCAAAACGUAAAGCGAAACAAAAAAAUAAAAUCAACAAAAGGACUAAAAUGAACUAGCUACAAAAAUGAGGUAUUUUAAAAUACCUCUCUGCCGAAAUUUUGACAAGAAAAGACCAAAAUGCCCCUAGGGACUAAACUGACUCAGACUGACUCAGAUGCAAUUUUUGAAAUGAUUUUUAAACAAAGACUCAACAAUGAUUCGUACAGACAAGUUGAAAAGACUCAGAGGCAAACACAGGGACUAAAAUGGGUUCCACUGCAGGAAAUGACCAAAAUACCCUUUUGUAUGAUUUUUUGAAAUAAAAUGCAAGAAAAGUAAUGCGACGUUUCAGAGAGUUCUUAAAUGACUUGUAAUGUCAGAAAAGACAGAGGCAGUAAAAUACGUUUAAAAAGAGAGUAAAGAUUCAGAGUAAAAUAACAGAGAAUUGACAAAUAUCAGUGUUAAAAAAGAAAUUUGAACGAGUAUUUUUAGGUCCAAAAUCAGGGUAUAACAGCUGCCCCUAUUUAAGUUUCUUUGUCUGGAGGGUCAAGAGACGGAGUCUUUGGCUUGACGGGACGAAGAUACUUAAAUAUUAACAUUUGCACUGUGUUUGGACGUAAAAAUACGCUUGUACAUUUUCAAAUAUUAUGAAUGCCAUGCAACAUUUGGAUUAUGAAUGCGAGACAAACGAGAGUUGGAACUAACAAAAGAUGUCGUAUCCAUUGCGGGAUUGGUAGACAUUGGCACGAUAACAGAUAACAGAAUAGGUAGGGGACUAGGAACGAAUCGACAGGUACAAGCUGCUCUUGGAUCGAGCUAGCCACUUGACCGGGGACCAAAGUAGACAAACAGGUGCGAGUUGUUCUUGGAUGCGAACUGGUCACUCGACUGAAAGCAAAGGCAAAUAGACAGGUGCGAGCUUGUUCUUGGAUGCGAACUGGUUACUCCACCGGAGACAAAGACAAAAUAGACAGGCGCAAGCUGCUCUUGGAUCAAGCUAGCCACUUGAGCGAACAGAAACAGAUAGAUGGGUACAAGCUGUUCUUGGACUUGAACUAGCCACUUGACCAAAAUCAUAGACACAUAGAUAGGUACGAGCCGUUCUUGGAUUCGAACUGGUAACUCGACCGAUAACAUUGAAAAGUAAACGGGUACAAGUCGUUCUUGGAUGCGAACUGGUAACUUGACCAAACAGAAACAUAUUGACAGGUACAAGCUGCUCUUGGAUUGAGCUGGGCACUCGACCGAUAACAUAAGCAAAUUGAUAGGUACAAGCUGUUCUUGGACUUGAACUAGCCACUUGACCGAACAGAAACAAAUUCACAGGGGAUUAGUUUUUUUGACAAAAUAUAGGUUGAAAUUGACUUGACGUCGAUUUGAUUUGAAAGGUAGAAAUUGACCAACAUUAUUGGCUCACAAGGUUUUGACAGAGAACCCGACAUGAGUAUUGAAUUGAGACUGAUGUUGACAUUGGAAAUGCAACAUGCAUGAAUGAUAUAACAAUUUCAUUAAAUGCAUGGGCACGUAAUAUGCAUGAUUAUGUAUGUAUGAAUGCUUGUAAUGCAUGACUGUUGGCGAUUUGUAGACACAAUUUCGCAGAGACAGACAAGACAUUGGAGUAUUGGGCACGUAGUGGCUCGUGCUAUAUUACACAUUCCUGGAAAUCCUCUUUGGAGAUGACGUCGUUGGGGGACGUAUCGGGACCAAGGCUGAGGGCCGGUAGUCUAUGCAACUUGCUGGGGAUAGAAUCUUGGGAGACUCUACUGGGAAUAAUGCCGGAUGUAUCGUGGACGUCGCAUCUGUGGUCAAUGCUUUUUGCAUGUUAUUUUCUCAAUUUUCAUUCAUUUUCAUUUUUUUUUAUCCCAUUUUUGCCUGGAUCGCCCUUUCGGGUUUUCGACCCACCGGGGAAAUAAAUUCUUUUCAAUGCCCCAUUUUUGCCUGAACUGCCCUUUCGGGUUGUCAAUCCAGCGGGGUGCUCAUUUUUGCCUAAGCCGCCCUUCCGGGUUUUCACCUUAGCGAGCCUAUUCAUUUUCAUGCAUUUUCAUUCUGUUUUUUUUCAUUCUUGCCAUUGACCACAGACUAUCCUGGAGGAGAACCUGCUUAUAACAUAUAUUGAAAUAGACACCAACACACGCUCACUCAUGCAUGUUUCAUUUGAAUGUACCCUGUUGCUCAGGUUUGCUUUUCAAAAAAAACUUUUUCAAUUUUCAAGAUGUUUGUUUCGAGCAUUAUCAUUAUCAAAAUAGAAAGAAAAUGUUUUGUAUAUAGCUUUGAAAGUAGAAGAAAAAUAGAGUUUCAAACAAAAGCACAAGCUCAAAUUGAUGUAUAAGAGUGGUGGUCAGCCGAAGGCGUGACUCCACGGAUUCACAAAGCUUGGAAAAUGGUAAUUUUAUUGGUUGGUGGUACAUUGAACACGGUAAUCAUUACAUUUCCUAGAAACUUUGAAUUUGCAAGCGUAGGAGCUUUUGAUGAAGAUAGUCAUUAACAGCUGCAGAUGCCCCAAGGGAGGCGGUGGUUGGCCAGAUAUAGUUACUUGCCUUUUGUUUCAAUCUCCUUUUUGCAUGAACCGCCCUUCCGGGUUUUCGGCUCAUCGAGACGCUCAUUCUUGCCUGAGUUGCGUACAAUCUCAGCGAGCUUUUUCAUAUAUUUCUUUUUUUGUGUCCCUUAUUUUUGCCUGGACCGCCCUUUCGGGUUUUCGAUCCACCGGGAAGCGCAUUUUUGCCUAGGCCGCCCUUUCGGGUUUUCGACCUACCACGCUGUUCUUUUCAUAUUUCUAGGCAAAGUAUUUCUUGACUAUAUCGGCAUUCACUGGAUUUGGAAGUUCUACACCAUCCAUGUGUGUAAGGAUUAAAGCACCACCGGAGAAGGCCUUCUUGACAACAUAAGGACCUUCAUAGUUAGGCGUCCACUUGUCCCUUGGGUCGGGUUGCUGGCUUACCCUCCUUUUCAAUACAAGUUCCCCUACCUUGAAUUCUCGAGGAUGGACUUUCUUGUCAAAGGCAGUCUUCAUUCUUGCUUGAUAUGACUGUCCACGAGCCAUGGCAUCCAUACGUUUUUCCUCAAUCAAAUUCAACUGAUCAUACCGGCUUUGGCACCAUUCAGCCUCGGAUAACUUUGCUUCCAUGAUCACACGGAGAGACGGGAUCUCCACUUCCAAAGGAAGAACUGCUUCCAUACCAUAUACAAGAGAAAAAGGGGUUGCCCCGGUUGAACUGCGCACUGUAGUACGGUAACCAUGCAGAGCAUAAGGUAACAUCUCAUGCCAGUCCUUGUAAGUGGUUACCAUCUUCUGGACAAUUCUCUUGAUAUUCUUGUUGGCGGCCUCAACUGCACCAUUCAUCUGAGGUCUAUAAGGAGAAGAGUUAUGAUGCUCAAUUUUGAAUUCUUCACAAAGAGCUUGCACCACAUUGUUGUUCAGGUUGGUACCAUUGUCGGUAAUAAUCUUGCUGGGAACACCAUAUCGACAGAUGAUGUUGUUCUUGAUGAACUUAGCUACCACUUGCUUGGUCACAUUGGUAUAAGAUGCUGCUUCAACCCACUUGGUGAAGUAGUCAAUUGCCACUAAGAUGAAACGAUGACCAUUUGAAGCCUUCGGUUCAAUUCUUCCAAUCAUGUCGAUGCCCCACAUUGGGAACGACCAUGGGGAUGAAAUAACAUUGAGAGCGUGCGGAGGCACAUGAAUCUUAUCAGCAUAGAUUUGACAUUUGUGGCACUUUCUGGCGUGCUGGUAGCAAUCAUGCUCCAUGGCCAUCCAGUAGUAACCUGCCCGUAACAACUUCCUUGACAUAGUAUGCCCUGUAGCAUGGGUCCCGAAGGUACCGUCAUGUACAUCAUGCAUUAACUGCUCUGCUUCGUGUUCAUCAACACAUCUUAAUAAUACCAUGUCAUAGUUUCUUUUGUACAGAAUAUCUCCAUCUAACAGGAAUCUACUGGCCAAUCUUCUCAGGGUCUUCUUGUCUUGGUUGGAAGCACUUGGCGAAUACUCACGGCUCAGCAAGAACUGUUUGAUGUCGUAGUACCAGGGUUUAUAGUCAACCACAUUUUCGCCAGCCUGAUCGAUCACAUCCCCAAUAGCAAACACAUGUGAAGGUCUUUCAAGGCGUUGCACUUUGAUUAUUGGCACAUCAUUCCAAUGGUUCACUCGAAACAUGGAAGAUAGAGUAGCAAGAGCAUCAGCCAUUUGGUUCUCAUCACGAGGAAUAUGGUGCAGCUCAACCUUUGUAAAAUAUGUCAGCAAACGUCUCGCAUAAUCACGAUAAGGAAUCAACUUAGCAUGGUGGGUCUCCCAUUCACCCUUUAUCUGAUUGAUGACGAGCGCAGAAUCUCCAUAGAUGUCGAGGUGUUUGAUUCUCAUGUCAAUUGCUUCCUCGAUCCCAAAGAUACAUGCUUCAUACUCAGCCAUAUUGUUUGUACAUUCGAACAGAAUCCAGGCGGUAAAAGGAAUGUGAUGCCCCUGUGGGGAUACAAUGACUGCCCUAAUUCCUUUACCAUAAGCAUUGACAACACCAUCAAAGACUAAACCCCACUUGCUAUUGGGAUCUGGACCUUCAUCAAUCAACGGUUCUUCGCAGUCUUUUGAUUUCAAAUACAUGAUCUCUUCAUCGGGGAAAUCGAACUCAAUUGGUUGAUAAUCAUCAAGAGGUUGGUAAGCAAGAUGAUCGGCAAGAAUGCUACCUUUGAUUGCCUUUUGAGUUUUGAACACAAUAUCAUAUUCAGACAAAAGCAUCUGCCAGCGUGCAAUCUUCCCAGUAACAGCAGCUUUCUCAAAGAUAUACUUUAUCGGAUCCAUUCUGGAUAUCAACCAAGUUGUAUGAUUCACCAAAUAAUGACGCAGGCGUUUAGCGGCCCAGGCCAAAGCACAACAAGUCUUCUCAAGCAUUGUAUACCGAGUUUCACAAUCGGUGAACUUCUUGCUUAGAUAGUAGAUAGCAUGUUCUUUCUUUCCAGUCUCAUCCUGUUGACCAAGUACGCAUCCCAUGGAUUCAUCAAAUACUGCCAAAUACAUAAUCAAAGGCCUUCCUUCCACGGGUGGGACAAGGAUAGGUGGUUCCAGCAGGUAAUUCUUGAUGCUAUCAAAAGCUUCUUAGCAUUCAUCAUUCCAUACAAUAGGCUGAUUCUUUCUGAGUAGCUUGAAGAUCGGCCCGCAGGUUGCGGUCAUGUGAGAUAUGAAUCGGGAGAUGUAAUUCAAACGUCCGAGGAAACCUCUGACUUGCUUCUCGGUCUGUGGAGCUGGCAUUUCUCGGAUGGCCCGGACUUUAUCAGGAUCGACUUCAAUGCCCUUUUGGCUGACAAUGAAGCCUAAUAACUUUCCGGAUCUGACGCCGAAUGUACAUUUGUUGGGAUUCAAUCGAAGCUUGUAUUUUCUCAACCUUUCAAACAUCUUUGUCAAAUAUUCAACAUGUUGCUCCUCAUCUGUUGACUUUACAAUCAUAUCAUCCACAUAUACUUCGACUUCUUUGUGAAUCAUGUCAUGAAACAGAGUAGUCAUCCCUCUUUGGUAGGUAGCACCAGCAUUUAUUAGGCCGAACGGCAUCACUUUGUAGCAGAAAGUACCCCAUGGGGUGAUAAAAGACGUCUUUUCUCUAUCUUCAGGAGACAUUUUGAUCUGAUUGUAACUGGAGAAACCAUCCAUGAAGGAGAACACCUUAGACUGAGCAGUAUUAUCAACAAGCACAUCAAUAUGAGGUAAUUGAAAGUUGUCUUUUGGACUGGCUUUGUUCAGGUCUCUGAAGUCAAUACACAUCCGGACUUUACCAUCCUUCUUUGGCACAGGUACAAUAUUGGCAACCCAUUCAGGGUACUCAACUGUCAUGAGGAAACCCGCAUCAAUCUGUUUUUGAACCUCGCUCUUAAUCUUGAGAGCCAUAUCUGGAUGAGUCCUUCUCAAUUUCUGCCUGACGGGAGGACAUUCAGGCUUGGUGGGGAUUCGAUGCUCCACAAUCAUAGGAUCUAGACCUGGCAUAUCUUCAUACGACCAUGCAAAAAUAUUCGGAUAUUCCCGGAGGAGUUGGAUGAUCUUCUUUUUAACCCCUUCCUCUAGAGCAGCACCGAUCUUGAUUUCUCGCUUGUUCUCCUCGGUACCUAUGUUGAUAAGCUCAAUCUCUUCCUGGUGAGGCUGAAUGGCUUUCUUUUCUUGCUCAAGUAACCGAGUGAUCUCAUAUGGUAUAUCAUCACCUUCCUCAUCUUCGGCCUCAUACACUGGGAACUCAAAAUUCGGAGGGAAUGCAGGGUUACUGUGCCCAACGGGUUUAUUAUAGUUCAAUCUGCGUAAAAUGGUUGGAUGAUUUUAGAAAGAGGUUUUUUAUGCAGAUUUUUGAAAUUAAUAAGAAAAUACAAAUGUUUUGGUUUUUUCUGGCAUUACCAUUAUUUCCAAGAAAAAAUGUACUAAAAAAAAGCAGUUGUGAAAGAAACGACAAUUUUUUUUUAUUAAUCAACGGCAAUGCCGAAACAAACAUGCCCUUACAGAAAAUAUCACUCUCGCUUUGGGCAGAGCGAGAUGAUUGUUAUUUUGAAAAAACAAGAUACUUAAGCAACAAGGUAUAUUACUCAGAAACAUGCAUGAUUGAGGGAAUGUCAAUGGCAUCCCAAUCUCUCGCAAUGCCUCCUGGUGUAACAAAUGCAGGCCUCGGGCCAAAUCCAGUUGCUUCUUCUGUGAUUGCGUUGACAAACCCAGCACUAUAGAAUGCCCCGGUGGAAACUCCUGAAGUUGGGGAAAAGCCAAGACCUUCCUUAUGCUUGUUCUCGCGAAGCUGUAUUAACCUGCCCCAGCCGGCAGCUUGACCCUCUUGAACGGCUCUCUGUGCAUCCUUCAAAGAAGCCAUGGCAGUUCCAUCCCUUUUAGGCUCCGUACCUUCGACAGUUAAUCCUUGAAAAGCGGUCCCCUCUGCGGACCCUGCUUCUAUGCAAGAGAAAGAUGAUAGCUGGCUAACCAGGUAUGCUUCCUCUCCAUGAAUGGUAACAAGCUUUCCACUUUUUGCAAAUUUCAACUUUUGGUGCAAAGUAGAGGUCAUCGCUCUCGCGUCAUGUAUCCAUGGUCUCCCCAAGAGACAGCUGUAAGAGGCGUUAAUGUCCAUGACCUGAAAGGUGAUUAGAAAGGUUUCGGGGCCGAUAGUUAUUGGCAAGUCUAUCUCCCCGAGAACGCUCUUGCGGGUUCCAUCAAAGGCUUUGACCAAAAAAGUGCUUCUCCUCAAAGGAGUUCCCCGGUAACUCAGCUGAUCCAGCGUUGACUUGGGCAUCACGUUCAAAGACGAGCCAGUGUCUACUAACACAUUUGAGAUCAUGUCGGACUUGCAAUUCACGGAGAUAUGCAAGGCCAGAUUAUGAUGCUUUCCUGCUUCGGGCAAUUCAUCUUCACUGAACCACAGGUUGCUGCAGGCGGUAAUGUUCCCCACUAUGCUACCAAAGUGAUCCACAGUGACUUCAUGAUCCACAUAAGCUUGCUCCAAUACUUUCAAAAGGGUAUCUCUGUGAGCAGCGGAACUCAGGAGAAGAGACAAAAUGGAUAUCUUCGACGGAGUUUGCAGCAGCUGAUCCACAAUCUUAUAAUCACUUCUUUUGAUCAACCUCAAAAUCUCAUCCAGAUUAGAAUCCUCUAUAGACCGGCCUGGUUGGCUCGCGUCUCUGUUAACGGGAGAAACAUCAGUCGGGGUUGGUUUGUCAAUGGGUGACACGGUAGGCGUAGCUGCCUUCUUUUGAAACAACGGUGGACGGACUCUUCCGCUUCUAAGGGCUGCUGAAGUUCCUUCGGCGGUAUUGUUCAUCUUAGCCAAAGACACCAGAGGCACUUCUACUCCGUUUUCAAUUAUGGUAGCAUUGUAUUUGUACGGGAUAGCCCUAUCUGAAGUAUACGGUACCGGUCCGGGAAACCUUAUCACCAGAGGCUCAGCAUUCUCCUUCAAAGGUAUACUCUUGACAGGCGGAUCAUGAAAAACUGGCACAAUCACACAGACAUCACUGACAGUCAAAUAAUUGUCAUUCAUCAAGCUCUGGAUGUCAUUUUGAACAGUAUACCAACCCAAAGGAUUAUGAAGGCAUCCUAGGCACUUGGCAUGAUCAUGGCUAAACAGAGAAGCUUUGCACAGCUUGAUGUGUAGAGGCACCAGAGGAGUUGCGACGUUACGGACAUCAAGUCUAGGAGCUUCCUCACAUACUUCGAUCAUAUUUACAGCGGCAUGAUUUGGAAGAGGAUUGUCGAGGACAUGUGGGACAUUAUUCUCAAAAGUCAGCUUUCCUUGAUCAAUGAGCUUCUUCACGAUAUACUUCAAAGUGUAGCAUCCCUCGACGUCAUGACCCAGGGCGCCUUGAUGAAAAUCACAUUUGAGAUCGGACCUGAACCUUGGAGGCAACGGAUCAGGUGGGGGCUUGCCCUGUCUGGUUGUACAAUGCCCUCUAUGGAGUAAAGUUGGAAGCAACUCAGCAUAUAACAUCGGUAUCGGAGGGAAAGUAGGUCUAGCUUGCUGAUUUUGUUGUUGUUGUUGAACUGGCAACUGUUGUUUCAUCUGUUGAGCGAUUGCAUUAACGGGUACUUGAGGUUGACCCGGUGGCAGAGGGUACUGAUGAUAAAAUGGCGGAAAGAAAGGAUGCUGAGAAUACGGCGCAUAUGGGUAUGACGGAGGCAUUUGGGCUGCAUUGAUAGGAGCAACAGUAGCCAUGGAUUGACCAGCUCCGGCAGACACCAUCCCUACUUCCGUUUCUUUCUUCUUGUGGUGUCCAUUACCAUAUCUCUUUGAUGCAUUCACAGAGGAUUCAGCUUUCUCGAACACAAUGAUUCCAUCCCUGACGGCUUCUUCCAGACGAGUUCCCAUGGUGACCAUCUCCGAAAAGUUAUUCGGGGCAGCAAUGAUCAUUCUCUCAACAUAAUCCUUUUUCAAGGUCUUUAAGAAUGUCUGGGUCAUUUCUUCUUCAUCAAGAGCGGGAGUAAUGCGGGCAGCUGCCCCCCUCCAUCUCUGUGCGUAUUCACGGAAGCUUUCCUCUUUCUUCUGGGAGAGAGAUUUGAGGAAUUCCCUGUUCGGCUUCAAUCGGGUGUUAAACCCAUAGUGGCUCUUGAAAGCAGCGGCUAAUUCAUCAAAGGUAUGGAUGUCAUUUUUGCUCAAACUAGUAUACCACUCUGCAGCAUCUUCCAUCAAACUAUCUUGAAAGCAGUGGAUCAUAAGGGAAUCAUUGUCUUUGUAAUUGCCCAUCUUUCGGACAUACUUGAUGAUGUGGUUCUGGGGACAAGUCAGCCCGUUGUAUCGGUCGAAAUAUGGGAUUUUGAACUUCUUAGGGACAUCCACCUUUGACACCAAGCAGAGAUCUUGAGUUUUGAAAGAGUCCGCAUUCCCUCGAUUGGCUUUGAUUUCAUGACGGAGUUCUUUAGCAAGUUCCUCCAUCAUCUCUUCCAUGGUUUUGGUCACGGGGAUGCUUCCGUACGGUGUGUUGAUGUUAACACCUUGAGGCAUGGUAUGCACAAGAGGCUCGGUGACAGCUGCCGUUGUUUGUGGCAAAGUGGCAUUGAUGGAGACAGCAUUUGUUGCAGGGAUCAGAACAUUGUUAGCAGUGCCCGAAGUGCCCGCUGCAGUACUGGGAGUGAAGAACGGUGGAAGCCCAUACGGAAACCCGGCUGGCAUAGCAAAGCGAGCGUCUGCAGAUGCGGUUGGGAGCAUGCUUGUAGUCACCGGUAUAGCUGUGGCUAUAGGGAUAGCCGUGGCUGAUUGUUCUUGAGCGGCUAGCAGAGCGGUCAUGACAUCAUUAGCUUUAGCCAAUUCUUCCCUUAGAGUGGCUAACUCGGUACGGAGCUGAGCAUUCUCUUCUUCCAUGGCUGCCGAAUUCUUCUUUCUGUAGAGUCUAGUCCGGUGUAUUCUGUCUGAUUCGUAAACUUUCCGAGCACGAGCCACCUUUCAAACUCUGUGGCAGAAGAACCAGGAGGCAGUGAGCACUUGUAAACCUUUUGUAGCUUGAUGAAUAAUGCACAUGAUGCAUGAUAUGUACAAAUGCAAAUGCAAAAGUUGUUUUUGGACAUCGAAGGAUUUUUUAGACAAAUUAGGAGUUUUGUAAACAAUAUCUAAACAAACAAAGCAAAACGAAGCGUUUACAAGAUGAAUCCCUUUGAAAUACUAAGCCAAGGGAAGACUUUUGAAAUAUAAACAAAUAAAACUCUCAAGCAUAGGAAGUAGUGGGAUGAUCCUCAGACUCAGACUCCGAAUCCGAACCGCAAUAUCUAGCAUAGAAGUUGUGUCGUCCUCUAGCUCUCUUGGAGUCCCGCAUAAGUAGCUCAUCCUUUUCUUCAAGUUCCCUUCGGACCUUAACCAAUUCCUUCUUCAACAUCAGGUUCUCAUGAGUCUUCUGCUCAUCCUUACCAUCCAAAGUCAUGAUUAGAUUCUUAGCCUCAUUGUAUCGGGCCUUCCACAUUUGUUUCUCACGACUUUCCAUGGCCAGAUGCUCCUGAUACAUCUCCUGAGUAGUGGGAGGUAGAGGUAAAGGUAUAGAUGGAGCAGAUGCAGCCACAUGUCUCAUAGCAGGGUAUGGCAUACCAAUCUCUUCGGCUCGGUUUAUUACCCACUGAGUAUAGGCCUCAUGAGCAAUACCAGAUCUCACACCCAGAUGCUUCACACUCUUCCUACGGACCUUAGACCAAGCCCUUGUGAAGCCUCCCUUUGUCCGGUGGGGGCGUUCGAAUAAUAGAAGAACUCCGGAGAUGUGGCAAGAUUGAUGGGCUUUGUCUUCAUAGGGAACCCAAACUGUCUCAUAGCAAGCUCCGGAUUGUAGUUGAUUCCCCCACGGGUACCAAGAAGAGGUACAUUGAGAAAGUCUCCACAACCAGUAAUAAUCUCCUUAACCUGAGCGGCGGGAGUGAUCCAGACCACCUCGUUAGGAGAGAGAGCCAUCAUCCGCUGUGAAUAGGACCAAUCCUCCGAGUUAUCAUGGAAGGAGCUCGGAAGGUGAGAAAUAAACCACCUAUAUAGGAGAGGCACGCAGCAAAGGAUAUACCCACGACCUUUGAGAGUCCGGUCAUGGAUAGCAUGGUACAUGUCAGCUAGCAAGGUAGGAACCGGAUUCCUAGAAUGGAAGAUCUCAAUAGCAUUCAUAUCCACAAAGUUGUCGAGAUUCGGGAAGAGAAUGAGCCCAUAGAUAAGCAAUGCAAGAAUAGCCUCGAGUGCGUCCUGACAAGUAGUUUCGAGAUUAGCUUGCUCAAGUAGAUACUUGGAAGUGAACCCUCGGAUGUGAGACUUAGUAGUAAGAUGCUUGGAGACAUCAGAAGUCUUGAGAUAGAGAUCCUUAGCAAUAACCAGAGGAGUAAGAGAAGCCCCGGGACCGGUGAAAGGCGUCUUCUCGGCUAUAGGUGAAUCCAAUAAGUGGGAAUAAGCCUCAAGAGUAGGGACCAACUGGAAAUCCGGGAAAGUGAAGCAGCGGAAACUCGGGUCAUAGAAUUGCACUAGAGUGUGCACGAGCUUCUCUUCAACAUUAGUCCGGAGAAUAGUAAGCAAACCACCAUACCGGAGUCGGAAACCCGUUUGAUUCUUCACCUUGAGUGCCAACUCUCUCAAACUAACCAAAUCAACCUCCUUGAACUUGUAGGAUUUAGUCUUCUUCAUACCUGUAAUGUUUACAAAGUUUUUAAUUUGUCCAAUCCUUCGAUGAAUGCAUGAGAAAAAUUUAUGCAUGAAUGCAUGUAUGCAUGAUUGUUUUUUCAAUUACAGAGAAAACAUGGAGGGUUGAGAUUAAAGUCGAGGAGCCACGGGCGGACACGGUGCCCGGUAAACUAAAGUUUAGGAUAAUAGUAACCAAGGUUCUAAUCAAGUUCCCAAACUGCAACCUCUCUUACGUAUAUCAUGGUAGCACGGGACAACGUCCGUUCCAUGUUUAUUCGCAAGAAGGUCUAGUUUGAGUGUAGUAUCGCGUGACGACUAAAACUCAAGACAACACUCGGUUUAGCCACCGCACUACGUCCUAAAAAGGCCAGGGAUGGGUUUGGUAACUACGGUCCAUAGCAUCGUCGAACAAUUGAAAGCAAAGUGCCUAAGCAUGACAACACACGCCGACAAUAUUACUUCCAAAAUGCCUCAGCUAUGUGAGAUUGAUCGCAUAACCCAAUACACGAGGCAACCCUCGGAUCGAAUUGUCGAUUAUAUCUCUACCUAUUCAUAAGUUCACUCAGCCCGGGUAUAGGACUUUUGAUAUUCUCACCCCACACGUCAAAUGAAAAUAAACAAGUAUUCACAUAUGUAAGCAAUAAAACAAAGUGUAAAAUAUAAACUAAAGAAAACUAGGCGUGACCCGCUAAAAGAAUCCCCAGUGAAGUCGCCAUUUCUGUUAUCGCGAUUUUCGGGUAUCAAGUCAUUAAUUAGGCUUGAACCUUUCAAUCUUUGAUAUUCUCUAUUUUUUCUUGGGAAGGGCAAAAUUGAGAAAAACCCUUAGAUUCGGAGUUCGGGGGUCGCUUUCGCUACGGGAAGGUGUUAGGCACCCGGAACGAUUAUGGUAUUCCAUAAGAACCGUUCUCCUAAGUUUAUUUCUACGCUUUAUUUUUAUUGCCUACUUAUUAAAAAAAGAAGUUUUAUUUGAGUGAAGAAUGGGGGGAAGAAAGUGUUUGAGGUUUUAUUUUACUUGGCUUGGAGGAGUUUUAACUCAUUGCCUACGUACCCUUUUAAGGGAUCAAAACCAAACGUAGUUCGUUCUCAAAAAAUGUUUUUAUGUGUUUGGUUGGUUUUAAUUUUUGUUGGAAAAUGGUUUUGGAGAAAAGAAAGAGGCCUUAAAGGCAUAAGAGAAGGAAAUGGUGAAUGUUGGUCCAAUUUUAUAAAAAAAAGUCUAAGUAGGAAUUAGGAUUCAUUUGGAUUUGUUUAAGAAAAUAAAAGAAGAACUUCAAUGGAGUUUUGACUCCAAGAUUUGUUUGGAAAAAUUUGAGUGAUGGAAUUAGUUUAUUAUUAUUUUUUUGAAAAUUGACAUUUGUCUAAAAAUCGCGUUUCCUAAGCAUACAUCUAAACGGUAAACAUGCAACGUGUGUGCGUGUCGGUGCUUGUGUCGGUGUACAUCACUUAUAGUGUCCAUAGUCCUUUACAUUGAGUCCUAGAUACAUGCUAUGGUCUUGCAAAGAAUUUUAAAAAGGAACUAAUCUAUCUAAAAUUAUUACAAACCCAAUUGAUAUAGAAAUGAAUAGAAAAAAGAUGCCAAAACUAUGGGAUGAAUGAAAUGUGAGAUGAAAUGGUUAGUAUCAUAAAGCAUAAAAAUAGUAGAAAGGUAAACAAAAUUGAAUAGAAUAGCAAGAGAGGAAAAAGGGUAAUGAAAUGAAAUAAAGUGGCAAAAUAUACCUAAAAUUGGUUAUGACACUUAGACAAUGCACAUGACCUAUAAUCCCCUCAUUAUAGCAAUGUUAAAGGGGUUUGAUUUUGAGCUAUAAUGUGGGAACAAAUAGGACAUAUUCAAGCCAAGAAUCAUGACACAUUUUCAAAGAUAUUUUGCACUUUAUUUCUUGAUAAAAACACACAUUGCUUGCAAAACAAGAAAGACAUGAAAAUCUACAUCCACAAUCAGCAAGAUAUACACAUGAUCAGCAACAUAUUCAUCAUGAAAUUACACACCAAUCAUCCACAUUACAUGCCAACAUUUUAUGAGAAAAUAUACCACAAAAAUACACAAACUUAGAUCACACACAAAAUUAAUCAAGAAAAAAUAACACACACAUUUUUAUCAUUUUUUAAACCACUGGAAAAUAUCACAAAAGUGUUAAAAUGUAUUAAGAAACAUAUAACAAUUUUUUGGAAUUUUUAGAGAAAAAAAAUUAAACACACAGAGGUUCAAUCAGCAAAAAAGCAGGGUGCAAAUAGCAGGAAAAUAGCAAAAAACGGAAAAAAGCAAAGCCCAAACCAACCAAAAGAUCUGGAGGCACAGGGAGCGUUGGAUCAAUCUAGAGGCUGAGAAAGAAAGGGAAGAACCGAAAAUAAACCGGACCGGUUCAAUGUUCUAUAUAUAUGCUUCAAAUCCGGUUUUUUUUCAUUUUUUCUUUUCCUUCUCUCUCUUCUCUCCUCUAGUGAGAGAAGCUCUCACUUCUCUCUAGAAUUCCGGUCGUCUUCUCCGGCGUGGCUCCCCUUUCCGGCGCGGCGGACGGUGGUGGCGCCACCGCGCCGGAGCUCAAAACUUCUCCGAUUCAAAUUUUUUUCGCACUUUUAAACAUCCUUUUUCGUCUACUUCUCGAAUCCGAGUUUAGAUUUUUCAGAAAAGGUUCGAAUCGGAGUAGAUUUGAGUUUGGAUCUUGACAAAAUUUGUUAAAAAGAAACGGUAGGAAAAGGAAGAGAAAAGCGAAGAGGAUUACCUCUUCGUCGCUGAGGCUCUUGUUUCACGAUCUGGACUCGCUACUUUCGCGAUUCUGGUUCGGCCUUGUGCUUCGUCGCGUUCGAACUCUUUCUUUUUGAUUUCUUCUUCUUCUCUGGUUCGAGUCUUUCGCGCUUUCCCUUUUCUUCUCUGGUGCGAGCCUUUCGUGAUCGUACUUGAGUCCGUUGCUAACAGCGAUGGAUUCGCACUGGAAUUGCGAAAGGAACGGUUCGAUGAUGACGAUUCAAGGACGAAUCGCUGAGAACUGUAGAGAAAUCUGAGAGAUUUUUGUUGAAUUCUGGUGAAUUUGUGAUGAAUCUGUGUGUUAGGGUUUGGGAUUUUUCUGUGUUCUUGGUGAUUUCUGUUUUUGAUCUGUAACUGAAAGGAGAGAGACUGUUACUUCUGUUUGUGAUGUGGCGUGUAUUCUGUGGCUUGACUCUGACACUUGGCUAUUUAUAACCUGCCACUUGUGAUCUUGGGCCAGUGAAAUGGUGACACCUGUUAUUGGACCUGAUUGGCUCGGUCUUGUGCAAAUUUGUGAUUUAAGGACCUUUCUGCAAAAAAGUGAAAUUGAGGACUAAACUGCAAUUAUAAAAAAGGACUAAAAAGUAAUUUUAAGAAUUUCGGACUAAAAUUGCAAUUCUGGAAACUUUUUGAGGGACCAGAAUGUAAUAAAAAUAAAAUUGAAUUAAAAAUUGGUAAAUUGAUCAAAACGUAAAGCGAAACAAAAAAAUAAAAUCAACAAAAGGACUAAAAUGAACCAGCUACAAAAAUGAGGUAUUUUAAAAUACCUCUCUGCCGAAAUUUUGACAGGAAAAGACCAAAAUGCCCCUAGGGACUAAACUGACUAAGACUGACUCAGAUGCAAUUUUUGAAAUGAUUUUUAAACAAAGACUCAACAAUGAUUCGUACAGACAAGUUGAAAAGACUCAGAGGCAAACACAGGGACUAAAAUGGGUUCCACUGCAGGAAAUGACCAAAAUACCCUUUUGUAUGAUUUUUUGAAAUAAAAUGCAAGAAAAGUAAUGCGACGUUUCAGAGAGUUCUUAAAUGACUUGUAAUGUCAGAAAAGACAGAGGCAGUAAAAUACGUUUAAAAAGAGAGUAAAGAUUCAGAGUAAAAUAACAGAGAAUUGACAAAUAUCAGUGUUAAAAAAGAAAUUUGAACGAGUAUUUUUAGGUCCAAAAUCAGGGUAUAACAAGGGGGUGAAUGAAGCCGAAGCUAACUGUAAGUCUAAUGCUUUUUAGAAAAUCUUGUUGACGUGUUUGUUGCUGCCUUAUCCAUGUAAAGUAUAUAUAUAUUCUUUUAACUAUUCUUAGCUGGAAUGAAUGAUUAAAACAAAUGAUUUGCUGCAGUUUUUUUAGACCCCACAGAGAUCUUUCCCCCUUGUUUUUUGAUGCAAACACAAGUCUUUCCCAAACACACUAAUUAUGUACAUGUCAAAGAUUAUAAAUGACAAAAGAUUACAUGUCAAAGUCUGCUAGCAUAACACUCAUUUCAAUUUCAAACUUCUGCUAAAUAUUUUUUUACGUUAGAGGUUUAUCAUUGUUUAUUUUUUUCUUAGUUUUAUCAUGGUAUAUUAUUUCUGGUUUAAAUAUAUUUUUGGUUAAUUAUUGAUUGGCAAUUGGAGAUGCUUUUAUUUAAGGCUUAAUACUUUAUAAUUAUUGAAACACUUAAUAUUUUAUAAUGCAAAAAAUUUAGCUAAAUGCAUAUCUAAAUUACUUUACUUAUUUUUUCAGCUGAAUC